AUACGAAGGGGGCUAGCGUUGUUCGGAAUUACUGGGCGUAAAGCGCGCGUAGGCGGAUUGGUCAGUUAGGGGUGAAAUCCCAGGGCUUAACCCUGGAACUGCCUCUAAUACUGCCAGUCUUGAGUUCGGGAGAGGUGAGUGGAAUUCCUAGUGUAGAGGUGAAAUUCGUAGAUAUUAGGAAGAGCACCAGUGGCGAAGGCGGCUCACUGGCCCGAUACUGACGCUGAGGCGCGAAAGCGUGGGGAGCAAACAGGAUUAGAAACCCCAGUAGUCC
rnacentral:rRNA from 1 species